rnacentral:rRNA from 1 species
GCUGGCGGCAUGCCUUACACAUGCAAGUCGAGCGGCAGCGCGGGGGCAACCCUGGCSGCGAGCGGCGCACGGGUGAGUAAUGCAUCGGAACGUGUCCUCUUGUGGGGGAUAACCAGUCGAAAGACUGGCUAAUACCGCAUGAGCACGAGAGUGGAAAGCGGGGGACCGUAAGGCCUCGCGCGAGAGGAGCGGCCGAUGCCGGAUUAGCUAGUUGGUGGGGUAACGGCCUACCAAGGCGACGAUCCGUAGCUGGUUUGAGAGAACGACCAGCCACACUGGGACUGAGACACGGCCCAGACUCCUACGGGAGGCAGCAGUGGGGAAUUUUGGACAAUGGGGGCAACCCUGAUCCAGCCAUGCCGCGUGAGUGAAGAAGGCCUUCGGGUUGUAAAGCUCUUUCGGCCGGAACGAAAUCGCGCGGAUGAACAAUCCGCGUGGAUGACGGUACCGGAAGAAGAAGCACCGGCUAACUACGUGCCAGCAGCCGCGGUAAUACGUAGGGUGCGAGCGUUAAUCGGAAUUACUGGGCGUAAAGUGUGCGCAGGCCGCCGAGCAUGUCGAGUGUGAAAGCCCCGAGCUUAACUUGGGAACUGCGCUCGAAACUACUUGGCUAGAGU